AGUAUUAAAGGCAACGCCUGCCCAGUGAACAAUUAAACGGCCGCGGUACCCUAACCGUGCAAAGGUAGCGUAAUCACCUGUCUAUUAAUUGUAGACCCGUAUGAAUGGCAAAAUGAGGGCCUAACUGUCUCUUAUAAUGAACCAAUUAAACUGAUCUCCUAGUCCAAAAGCUAGAAUGCACACAUAAGACCAGAAGACCCUGUGAAGCUUAAACUAAACUAUUAAAACACAUAAUAGCUCCUUUCGGUUGGGGCGACCUUGGAAAAAAAAAGAACUUCCAAAUACUAUGAUCUUCAUCAUACCAACUAAGGCCAACAAGCCUAAACACGACCCAGCAAAGCUGAUAAUCGAACCAAGUUACUCCAGGGAUAACAGCGCCAUCUUCUUCAAGAGCCCAUAUCAAAAAGAAGGUUUACGACCUCGAUGUUGGAUCAGGACAUCCUGACGGUGCAGCCGCUGCCAAGGGUUCGUUUGUUCAACGAUUAACAGUCCU
rnacentral:rRNA from 1 species